rnacentral:lncRNA from 1 species
GGGUGGUAUGGUUUAGGGUUUAGGGGGCUUAAGGUUUAGGAUUUUGGGUUCGAGGUUUAGUUGGUUUAGGGUUUUAGGGUUUAGGAUUCAAGAUUUGAGAUUUGUGAUUUGGUUUUCAGGGUUUAGGGGUAUGGGUUUAGGAUUUAUGGUUUAAGAGCUUAGAGUUUCAGGGAUUGGGUUUUGGGUAUCAGGUUUUGGGUUUC